rnacentral:lncRNA from 1 species
CAUGUCUCAGGGGUGGGAGGAAGACGUUGUCUCCCUGAGCAGUUGAGAAGAGAGAUCGCAUUGCUGGCAGGGCACCGAGGUCUGUGCUGGAAGAAAAACUUUGCAGAGAGCAACAGGCUUGAGCUGGCUUCAACCCACCUACUCUUCCCCAGCGACGGGGGAAACCCAGCAUCGCGGCGGGGAGCGCGUCGUGCAGACCGGAUCAACCCCCGACUGCCUUCUCCAGGGACACCCGCUCUGUGCUGAGCCGCUCGCGUGCCGUCCCCGAGGUCAGCCGAGUCGAGCAGAAACUCAGCGCGCACACCGGAUAAUCCACGGCACCGGCUCCCACGGUCUGCCCCAUUUCACGGCACCGGAGCCCUCUGU